CCCCACAAAAAAAGAUUACUAAUUUCAAAUUAGACAUGAGUCAAGCUAUUGGUUGCAUUUGAAGCAGGAAGUUUUACAUCCAAUCAC